GGACGCGGUGCUAUUCGAGUUUCUGCACACCGAGAUGGUGGCGGAGCUGUGGGCCCCGGACCCGGACCCAGGCUCGGGGGUGAGCGGCACGCCGUGGCCUCGGGGUGGAGAAGUGGGGUGUGAUCGAGCCUUAUGGCAGGUCAUUGCUGAGGCGGAGCGAGAUGACUUGGGUCAAGGCGCUCAGUUCUAGGCCUCGUCCUGGGGCGCCGUUGAUAAUUAGGGUAAUUGGCUGUUAUUGGGCUCAGAUGAGGGCUCGCCUCACCACCCACUUAGUAUGCAACUCAACAUCUUUAAUCUUCCUAUCCUUCCGUUUCCUCCUUAGAAAAUGCACCCUCAACCAUACCCGGUCUCAUCUGUCCCCUCUGCCUGUGUGCUGGAUAAAGUGCGUGCUGAUCGCGCUACACCCCAGCACACAGUGAGUUUUUUAGUAUGGAUUUGCCCCUGUAAUGAGUAAAGACCCCACCCGGUAAUGUGGAAGGUGGCGCUGGGAUCACUGAAAUAUUGUAAUCAAUAAUAGUUACCACCACUUAUGUGUUCCUUUGUGCCUUCCUGUGUGUCAUACUCCCAUCCACCUCCCAUUGUCUUCCUUCUCAUCCUAGGGAGGUCAUGAAGAAGCUGCUUUGUGCAGAGGCACAUGCUCUGGGAAGGAGGGAGCCUGCUUCCUCUCUGCUCUGUGUCACCUUGACUCUAAUAAAGAGAUU
rnacentral:lncRNA from 1 species